CCUACGGGUGGCAGCAGUGGGGAAUAUUGGACAAUGGGGGGAACCCUGAUCCAGCCAUGCCGCGUGUGUGAAGAAGGCCCUCGGGUUGUAAAGCACUUUCAGUGAGGAAGAACGCCUGGUGGUUAAUACCCAUCAGGAAAGACAUCACUCACAGAAGAAGCACCGGCUAACUCCGUGCCAGCAGCCGCGGUAAUACGGAGGGUGCGAGCGUUAAUCGGAAUUACUGGGCGUAAAGCGCGCGUAGGUGGCUUGAUAAGCCGGUUGUGAAAGCCCCGGGCUCAAACUGGGAACGGCAUCCGGAACUGUCAAGCUAGAGUGCAGGAGAGGAAGGUAGAAUUCCCGGUGUAGCGGUGAAAUGCGUAGAGAUCGGGAGGAAUACCAGUGGCGAAGGCGGCCUUCUGGACUGACACUGACACUGAGGUGCGAAAGCGUGGGUAGCAAACAGGAUUAGAUACCCCAGUAGUC
rnacentral:rRNA from 1 species